rfam:Cyberlindnera jadinii strain CBS1600 genome assembly, contig: CJ4
UGGAUAUGACGAUCCACAGCACUGGGCACUGAUUUUACAAUAAAACUUGUAUGAGUGACAUGCUUCUUAGUGGGCCUAGAAAACCCACGUUACUGAUCUA